rnacentral:rRNA from 1 species
UUCUUGGUCAUUUAGAGGAAGUAAAAGUCGUAACAAGGUUUUGGCGAGUCUGGAAGAUCCUUCCGCAGUGACACUCACAGAAGCCUUUUGCAGCCUUUAAGAGGUCUGCCCUAAGCGACUAUAAACAAUAUGGGGCUCCGAAUUUCAGUUUUGAGAUUUCGUGCAGUACUUUCGAAUUGCGGGGAUGCCCUAAAGCUCUACUCCAUCUGAAUGUCAGAUUUGGUUCUAUCGAGUAUGAGAUAGCGAUCGCUGUUACCAGCAUCAUGAUGGGCUAUCCGCAUCCAACUCUUGCGGAGGAAUCGCUCCAGAGUCGGUUCACAGACUAAGUGGAAGUGGUGGCCGUCAAAGCUACUCAAGAUAUAGUCGGGCCUGAGGGGAAACUCUUGGGGGAAGUCACUCGACCCACAAUUUCAGGAAUGUGGGCGAUGGAAAAUAACGUUCCGUAGGUGAACCUGCGGAAGGAUCAUUA